UGAGGAAUAUUGGGCAAUGCCCGCAAGGGUGACCCAGCAACGCCGCGUGGAGGAUGAAUGUCGUAAGAUUGUAAACUCCUGUUAGAGGGGAAGAAUAGUACCGGUUGGACCGGUAUAUGACUGUACCCUCAGAGAUAGCCCCGGCUAACUACGUGCCAGCAGCCGCGGUAAUACGUAGGGGGCAAGCGUUGUCCGGAUUUACUGGGUGUAAAGGGCGCGCAGGCGGGAUAAAAAGUCAGUGGUGAAAUCCUACAGCUUAACUGUAGAACUGCCUUUGAUACUUUUAUUCUUGAGUUCGGGAGAGAGAGACGGAAUUCCAGGUGUAGUGGUGAAAUACGUAGAUAUCUGGAAGAACACCAGUUGCGAAGGCGGUCUCUUGGUCCGACACUGACGCUGAGGCGCGAAAGCGUGGGGAGCAAACA
rnacentral:rRNA from 1 species